AGCAUAUCAAUAAGCGGAGGAAAAGAAACCAACAGGGAUUGCCUUAGUAACGGCGAGUGAAGCGGCAACAGCUCAAAUUUGAAAUCUGGUUCUUUCAGGGCCCGAGUUGUAAUUUGGAGAGGAUGCUUCGGCUGCGGCCCUGGUCUAAGUUCCUUGGAACAGGACGUCACAGAGGGUGAGAACCCCGUACGUGGCUGGGUGCCUACGCCAUGUGAAGCUCCUUCGACGAGUCGAGUUGUUUGGGAAUGCAGCUCUAAACGGGAGGUAGAUUUCUUCUAAAGCUAAAUACCGGCGAGAGACCGAUAGCGCACAAGUAGAGUGAUCGAAAGAUGAAAAGCACUUUGGAAAGAGAGUUAAAAAGUACGUGAAAUUGUUGAAAGGGAAGCGCUUGCAACCAGACUUGGGCGUAGUUGCUUAGCCGGGCUUCUGCCCGGUGCACUCUUCUGCGCCCAGGCCAGCAUCAGUUCAGGCGGCCGGAUAAAGGCCCUGGGAAUGUAGCUCCUCUCGGGGAGUGUUAUAGCCCUAGGUGCAAUGCGGCCUGCCUGGACUGAGGUCCGCGCUUCGGCUAGGAUGCUGGCGUAAUGGUUGUAAGCGGCCCGU
rnacentral:rRNA from 1 species